CCAUAUUCUCCAGCCUCUCUUUUAACUGGUCUCUCCAGGCCAAUUACUGCAAGCAGACACAGAUCAUGCCAGAGUAAAGAGUCCUUAGAGCUGCAGAGGAGAUUCACUUCAGUUCAUCACAUG